ACACGUAAAUUUAGUAAAAAUUUAUUUAAUUUUGAAAUAUUUUAGAGAUAUUACAUUAUCACAAUUGUUUUUGUUACUAUAAAAUGUGUCACGAUAAACCGAAGUUCUUAUAUUAAACGCUUGCGAGUGACUGGUCAGUUCUAUCUGGUACUGCACAGAAAAAUAAGAAGUGUUCAAUUAACACUGAUAUACUUGUAUAUACGCAAGAAUAUAUAAUCUUGAAAUGAGAUUAGGAUAUAGUUCCGAAUGACCCCUGCUCCCGAUUGUCCUAAAACUUUACACAUAAGUUGUUUUCAAUGUGAGAAAUAAAGUACGCGUGGUCCCAACUUCGGAAAAUUGAAAAAUAGUUAUUUGUGUAACAAGUGCGGGAAGUAUAAUUUGCUAAACAUGACAUGAUAGUUCUCAAAUACUUUGGAAAUUUGUAUUCAACAUAUUAUUAAAAGAAAUAAACAAAUAUUUACUUUUUAAAAAUUUUAAACAAAUAAAUUAAAAUAAAAAAUAUUAAUUUUUUCCUUCAAUUUUCUCAAACAAUCCGUUUUGCUCCUUAUUUUCGAAUAUAUUUUCCGAAAAAUAUCAAUUUUAUUUACAUUAAAUUUACAAAAUUGAUAAUAAAACCACAAAAAAUGUCAUAUUAAAUCGAAAAAUUGACAUUUUAAAAAUUUCAUAACUCGGAAACUACUUCUAUUCCAAAAAUGAAAUUUUCAGGGUUGUUUAAGGAUAUAAUGAAGUAUAUUCCCUGAAAAUUUCAAAGGAUUUCGAGUUGAAAGAAAAAAGUUUUGGCUAUCUGAAAAUGGCGAUUUUUCGAAAAUCGAUCGGCUUUAGAUAACCAUAACUUAACGAAAUAGAAGCAAUCAAGUAAAAAAUGGGUAGAUUUCUUCAGAGUAUACCUGAACAAAAAAUAUCAGCUGCUGAUCAACCCUCUACUUCGAAAACUGUAGAUAUGACAGCAUUUCAAAAAUAGGUAAAAUUUCUCUAAAACAGUGGUUUAGUUAGCAGCUCGCCGUGAAGCCGGACUUGAGUGUAAACCAAUGACCAAUUUUUUCCUUAAAAGUAGAGGGUUUACAGAAAAGAAUGCGGCCUCAAACGAGUCUCUAAGUUAUAUAGAAGCUGAGAUAUAAAUUUUUGAAAAUGACUGAAAAAUCGACUUUUUUCAAAAUUAAUAAAAUUCUUCAGCGGCCGGAUUUGAUCGAAUCUGGCUCAAAUUUUCAGAAUCAUCUCCUUUUCUAGUGUACUUUCGAGGAAAAAAUCGGCAUCAAAAUCGGUGACCCACCCCCGCAACUUUUGGUCGAAAAGUAAUGGAUCUGCCCAUAUAUAUAUAUAUAUGUCUAUACACUAUAACUUCUUAUAUGUAAAUAUCAUAAUAUGUAUCUCUGCUCAUGUACGGUAAAAAUGAAUAAAAUUUUUAUGGUAUGUACAUUUCUAUGACAUCGAGAAUUGCAAUUACGGUUUUUUAAGAUUUUCUAGUUAUAUAUUUUUUUCAAUUUUUUAAUGAUUUAUUUAAACAAUAUGAAGUACAAAAAUGGGACAAAAUUCGGAGGCGAUUUUCACGCUUUUUCUGUCCCCAAAUAAUACCUGUUGUUUAUAAAUAAUUUCUGAGAUUAGCUCUACACUGUUUAAAUCAAGAAAACAAAGUUAUACAUAUAAUAGCUAUCUAUCAUACAUCUUUAACCGCGCGCUGGAGACAAAGCGCCUUUGCCAUAUGUUGAUUACAUUUCCCUUUUAUUUUCAGAACGCGGCGGACAGACACGAGGCGGAUCGGCUCCGGAACGAGUGGCCGUCGCGACUUAUUUAAUUGAAAAUAGAUCAGAUAUAAGUGCCACAAAGAAAUAGCAACGGAAAAAGAAGAAAAGAGGACAAGCCGAGAAGACGGCCAGGUGUAACAGAUAAGAUAAAAUAGAGGAGACCGGGGCUCGUCGGCACUGUUUUUACAAUUUCGGCAUUUGAGUUUUUAAACAACUAAUUAUCAUGAUUAAACAGUACUAAUAUGUUAGAGAGAACCUUUUUCUACAUUUUCAUGCCAGAAACGCUCCUGUAUAACUUCUUUGUAAUAAUUAAGUGAAAUACGAACAUGCUGCAUUGUAGUCAACUUGCCCCGAUAGUAGGUUAUUUUGUAUAACUUUGCAUCGUGAUGUGAAUGAGAAGAAAUUCUGUUAAGAGAUGGAGGAAGAAGCCUGGAAGUACUACACCUGACGCCAGUUGAACAACUUUGCAGUAAGCAUUACUAUUUGUGUAAAUCAAUCAUUUCUUCCCGUUUAUUUGGAUCGCUUUAUUUCAACAAUUUAAAAAUAAUUAUUAGAGAAAACGAAUUAAUCUGAUACUGUAAAAGUUUAGUCUUAUGAAGAUCUUUUUUAAAAAAAUUACAAAUAUUUUAAUAGAUAUUAAAUCAAAAUGUGAUAAAAAGUUCUAUUCACGUUA